rnacentral:rRNA from 1 species
UGGGGGAUAUUGCACAAUGGGCGCAAGCCUGAUGCAGCGACGCCGCGUGGGGGAUGAAGGCCUUCGGGUUGUAAACUUCUUUUGCUCUGAACAAGGCGCACUUUGGGGUGUGUUGAGUGUAGGGGUUGAUUAGCGCCGGCUAACUACGUGCCAGCAGCCGCGGUAAUACGUAGGCGCGAGCGUUGUCCGGAAUUAUUGGGCGUAAAGGGCUUGUAGGUGGCUGGUUGCGUCUGUCGUGAAAGCUCAUGGCUUAACUGUGGGUUUGCGGUGGGUACGGGCUGGCUUGAGUGCAGUAGGGGAGGCUGGAAUUCCUGGUGUAGCGGUGGAAUGCGCAGAUAUCAGGAGGAAUACCGGUGGCGAAGGCGGGUCUCUGGGCUGUUACUGACACUGAGGAGCGAAAGCAUGGGGAGCGAACAGG